rnacentral:rRNA from 1 species
CAAUAGCGUAUAUUAAUGUUGUUGCAGUUAAAAAGCUCGUAGUUGGAUUUGUGGUGUGUCCUGUCGGUCCGUGGGCUCAGCCUGCGUGUCUGUACGGGUCCGCCUUUUAUGGGAUUGUUGGCUUUGUGGCAUUAGGUUGUCGCAUUGUCGGUGCCCAUCUUUUACUGUGAAAAAAUUAGAGUGUUCAAAGCAGGCUUAUGCCGUUGAAUAUAUUAGCAUGGAAUAAUAAUAUAGGACCUUGGUACUAUUUUGUUGGUUUGCGCACUGAGGUAAUGAUUAAUAGGGACAGUUGGGGGUAUUCGUAUUCCAUUGUCAGAGGUGAAAUUCUUGGAUUUUUGGAAGACGAACUACUGCGAAAGCAUUUACCAAGGAUGUUUUCAUUAA